GCUCAGGGUUAGAGAGCUUGUUCCCUCUAAGUCACUGUAGUUGAUGUUAAGUGGGAUUAGCUCCCGGUGGUGUUUCACUGAAAACCUGCUUACCGCUUAGUUGAUUAACUUCUACUCCACAUAACACAUUCCUUCUUUAUGACCAAAUUACUGCCAGAGCCUUCUAACUUCUCUGCACCCACUCGAGUCUAGCUAAGGCCCGAAGAAUGGAUGGGUAAAUAACAGUAUCUGAGACCUGCUGUUGGUUUAUGUUAAAUGUUCUUUAAAAAGGGUCAACCAUCCCCCACACAUGGCUCUCCUGAAAGGGAAGGGUAUAGAAAAAGCACGUGUUCACAGACAGUUUCUGGAGCAAGCAACAAAGCCCGGGUGGAUUGCAGCUGGUUGCAUCCUGGUUUGGGAAGCACCACAGAAUGGGGGAGGGUGAAGAUGGCAGUCCGUGCCAAAUAUUUCUCAAGAAGCCACAGUUACAGGCUUCACAAGUUUUCUUCAAAGAACGCACCUGUAAGAAAGCUGGGUGUAUAAGAAGAGUGGUAAAUGCAAUGACAUUGAUCUCUUUCCUCUGCCACGGUAUUAAUUCAUCAAUAAGCAAAAACACUUCAGAUGCGUUCUUACUAAUUUUUGCUGUAUCACAGGGUGGAAGGCUGUUUGAUCCCAAGGGAACAAUGGCUACAAUAUAGGACCUCCUCCCAGAAGACAGGAACAUUGUGUCUGGCGUGUUCUGUCCCAGGCCUGGCCCACUGAAGUCCCAGGAGCUGUUCAACUGAAUCAGUCACUUUCCAGUUUUCCCCUAAAUCCAGGUCAUCACUGUUCCUAAUUUCCAUGGUCACCAAGAGAAACACGCAGCUCCCUGACUCAUGCAAUUCCCUGGGGUCAGUCCUCAGUGGGAAGAGAGUAGAGUUUACAGGCCAGAAGUCAAUUCAAACAGUUCACAUUACCCAAGGCACACAAGCCCAAGGCUCUGCAUAACAAAUAUGAUGGCCCAACACAAGUUAGAACUCAGGUAAAAUUCACGUAAAAAAAGAACCCCUUAAGUUUGUGACUUGGAGACAAACCACUAAGAUCCUAAGUCUACUGUCUUGGGAAAAAUCUUGGAAUUUACUUUUCCCCACAAUGAUCAGAAAAUAAAACUUUGGACAGGGACAGUGGUUCACACCUGUAUCCCAAUACUCUGGGAAGCAAGGCAGGAGGAUCAAUUUAGCUCAGGAGUUCAAGACCAGCCUGGGCAACAGAGUGAGACCCUGCCUGUUUAAAAAAGAAGAAAGAAAGAAAGAAAAGAAAUCCUUGGCUGCUUCAAACAAGCCAAACAGCUUGAGAUCAUCUGAUGGGUGACAAGAGUUUUAAAA